GAUGAACGCUGACAGAAUGCUUAACACAUGCAAGUCAACUUGAACUUCGGUUUGGGUGGCGGACGGGUGAGUAACGCGUAAAGAACUUGCCUCACAGUUAGGGACAACAUUUGGAAACGAAUGCUAAUACCUGAUAUUAUGAUUUUAGGGCAUCCUAGAAUUAUGAAAGCUAUAUGCGCUGUGAGAGAGCUUUGCGUCCCAUUAGCUAGUUGGAGAGGUAACGGCUCACCAAGGCGAUGAUGGGUAGCCGGCCUGAGAGGGUGAACGGCCACAAGGGGACUGAGACACGGCCCGUACUCCUACGGGAGGAAGCAGUGGGGAAUAUGGGACAAUGGACCAAGAGUCUGAUCCAGCAAUUCUGUGUGCACGAUGAAGUUUUUCGGAAUGUAAAGUGCUUUCAGUUGGGAAGAAAAAAAUGACGAUACCAACAGAAGAAGUGACGGCUAAAUACGUG
rnacentral:rRNA from 1 species